GUUUAGAUCCUGGCGUCACGGAUAAAACGCUGGCGGCGCACAUAAGACAUGCAAGUCGAACGGACUUAACCAUUAGUUUACUAUUGGAGCGGUUAGUGGCGGACUGGUGAGUAACACGUAAAGCAACCCUGCCUAUCAGAGGGGAACAACAGUUAGAAAUGACUGCUAAUACCGCAUAUGCCAUGAAUAUCACAUGAUAUAAAUGGGAAAGGAGCAAUCCGCUGAUAGAUGGGCUUGCGUCUGAUUAGAUAGUUGGUGGGGUAACGGCCUACCAAGUCGACGAUCAGUAGCCGGACUGAGAGGUUGAACGGCCACAUUGGGACUGAGAUACGGCCCAGACUCCUACGGGAGGCAGCAGUCGGGAAUAUUGCGCAAUGGAGGAAACUCUGACGCAGUGACGCCGCGUGCAGGAAGAAGGUUUUCGGAUUGUAAACAGCUUUAGACAGGGAAGAUAAUGACAGUACCUGUAGAAUAAGCUCCGGCUAACUACGUG
rnacentral:rRNA from 1 species